UACGUAGGGGGCGAGCGUUGUCCGGAUUUAUUGGGCGUAAAGAGCGUGUAGGCAGCCUGACAGGUCUGCUGUGAAAACUCGAGGCUCAACCUCGAGAUGUCGGCGGAAACCGUCUGGCUAGAGUCCGGAAGAGGAGAGUGGAAUUCCUGGUGUAGCGGUGAAAUGCGCAGAUAUCAGGAAGAACACCUAUGGCGAAGGCAGCUCUCUGGGACGGUACUGACGCUGAGACGCGAAAGCGUGGGGAGCGAACAGG
rnacentral:rRNA from 1 species